UUUUUUUUGCAGAGAAUAGGCGGUGUCUGUUUACCCAGAUUAAAACAUCAUUUGUCAGUCUAAUCAACAGCAUCCUGCUUUUAAACUAUUUCCCUGCUGGCCAGCUUGAGCUCUGUGCACUUCAUCUUUGCCAGCUUCCAAAGAUGCAUUUCAUACAUCUUGUUCAGACUCAUUCAAGGAAAUAUUUCCCAAAAGACACUGGACAUGUCUUCUUUUUGUGAGGAAAUGUCCAAAUAAAUGGUUGCUAUCCUCUGGUACCCAGCUGGCAAGUAGACUGCCUGAGAGGAGGUGGAGAUCAUGGAUUAACAGAAUAUCCUGAGUUCGCAGGGAUCCACAAGGAUCAAAGUCCAACUCCUGGUUCUGCACAGGACCAGCCCCAAGAGUCACGCCAAGUGCCCGAGGGCAGUGUCCAAACACUUCCUGAACUCUGUCAGGCCUGGUGCUGUGACACUUUCCUGGGGAGCCUGUUCCAGUGCCCAGCCACUCUGCGGGGGAAGAACCUUUUCCUAAUAUCCAACCAAAACCUCCCCUGACACAACUUCAGGCUGCUCCCUUGGGUGCUGUCACUGGUCACCACCAGUGGCACUGAUCAGAGAAGAUCAGUGUCUGCCCCUUCUUUGCACCUCAUGAAGAAGCUGGAGACUGAGGAGUGCUUGCAGUGUGACACGAGUGUGGAAAGUCAACAUUCACCUGAGGAGGCAUUUUGUUGUUUUCCUCCUGGUGGCACUGCAGGAUAACACUGUGGUCCUUGGGGCCCUGUACUGCAGCUGCAUCAUUUAAGAUGCUGGGAUAUCUUCCUGCUGACACAACAGGUUCUGUUAUGCUUGACUUAAGGACCAGCACAACACCCUUAAUCCAUGAUAACCUGUAACUUAUUUGGUGGGACCUAUGUUGGAUGAUUUUCUCCUCUUAAAAAGGAAAGAGCUUCAACCAGUUUAUGAACUGUAAACAAAUCAGACACAUCACUGAGAGUGUAAAAAAAUCUCAAAAAAGCCUGACAUAUGACAGCCAAAUUCUCAACAAGUCUGCUCAAAGGAUGGUUUUCACCCUGACACAUUCACUUGUAUCCUUUAGAAUGUCCAGCAAGUACUGUGACUUUUGAUUGAAUAGAUUGUAUGGUUCAUAAUGGAAAAAGAAUGGAAGAUUUCUACUUGGAAACAUGAUUGUUCCCUUCAGGAAGAACAUGGUGCUGCCUCCAGCACUGCCCUCAUCAGUAUACUUUUCAGUUAUUACAGAUACUGUGUAUCUUGGCAGCCUUUGCCUCAAGUCACUUAUGAUCUGUUCAGUUACACGGUGUGCAAACUAAAAACAUCCAGUCAUAGUUCUCUGAGGGAGCUUGAAAUGAAAAUAAUAAUCUUCAGACCCAGAUUUUAUAUGUGAAUGUCAUUAUGUGUUAAUUAAUUUGAAAAUACUGCCUCUCUGGUCAGCAGAAACAUACCUUACCUAUUAAUUUACAAUGUAGUUAAGACUGAUAGAAACUAUCCUUUGGGGAAACAUGAUGCACUAGGGAGUUGCCCUGAAUGAAGUAAGAAGCAGCUGAAAUUACCAAUUAUGUCAUGAAUGUAAUUCAGAAGAAUGACUAGCUAUUUGCUUUCCAUGGAAACAGCUGUCCCCAGCCUCAAUCCCCACACCCAUGCCUGUGUGCUCAGCAAGCCCAAGGCACCCCAGGGGCAGCAGGCAGCAACCAGUCCACAAAACCCCUGAAAUCUUUCAUGCUUUCCAGUGAGCAUACCUGAGCAUCUCUCUCCCCUGCAGCCCCUCUUUGCAAACCCCUCCUUCUGAAGGCACAUCCUGGGGGCCUUUCUGAUUUGUUGAUCAGUGUUUUGCUGCUCUGGCAGGUUUUUUUUAAGUGUCCUGAAAGCUUUAAAUUGCUGAGACAGGAGCACCAGUCGAAAUUCCAGCAGCAUUUGGGAUUAGCUUAGUUAUUUUAAAGCUAAUCCAAAACUCUUUGGGGGUGUUACUCACGUGUUGAGUUUUUGCUUGCCAGAUUUGCUCUUGUCAAAGCACUUAUUGACCACUCUUUCUAUAACAAGAAAUGGUUUCUUUGUGCCCCAGGGUUAACAGUGCCAGAUGUUGGUGAUUCUUUUUGCCAAACCAAUAAAAUGCAAAAAAUCUCCCUUCUCCCUCCCUGUCCACAUAUAGGGAGGUUACAGCUGCUAAAAGCAGGGAUUGUGGGACAAUGGGCUCUCCUUCUUUUGUCUUACAAAUUGCUCUAAAAUAGGUCUUACAUAAAUUAGAAUGCCUAAAUAGAAAAUCUUUAUGGAUUAUGUUUCAGGGCAUUUGGCUGAAUUUCUACAUAUUCCUGGUUAGGAAAAAGAGUCACACUUCAGUAGUAUUUGGUUAAAAAUUUGAGAUUCACUUAUCCCUAAAGCUUAGAACUGAUUUUGUCCCAUGAAAAGAUAUAAUAACUCUCCUGGAAGUAAAGACCCUUAUAUUUAAGGCAGUCUCAAGCAAACAAAUCUAGUGGCUAAAUAUAAUUUAUAAUUCAUAUUUUGUUGUCUAUCUACCAAGUAUGGUAGCUGAGAUGUCUGCUUACAUUUGCCUGUGGAAUUUCAAAACCUUGACCUGCUGCAGAUUGGCUUCAGCAGCACCUGGAAGGGUUCUACAACUGGGAAGGUAAAAUGUCAGCCUAGAGAGACAAAAAAUUAUUCUAAAGAAUGAUUGAUAAGAAGCUGCAGGAGGAAUAGCAGUAAUGUCUAAGAUCUCAGUGCUGAACAUAUAGUUUCUGAUGUGUCAGCAGAAAAAUUGCUCCACUUGCUGGUAGAGCUGGGGUGUCCCAGGCCACACACCUGCCCAUGAAUGCUUUAGCCCUUUCACUGAGGGGUGGAGGAGGAAGAGGAGUUAUUUGUUUUGUUAAUAAAAAAGAAUCAUCAGGUUACCUAAGAGAACCUGUUUGUAACUCUGUGCUGUGAUGCCCUUGCAAGCUUUGGGAAGGGUGUUCUGUAUGUACAAAUGGUAUCAGAAGAGUUCAGGAAGCAACCAAGGAAGUGUGGGAAUGUGGACCAAAUCUAUUCUGUCCAUAAAAUGUUUCUUUCCAAAUGGGGACAUUGGUCUCAGCCAUGCUAUCAAUAGCAUAUUUUUAAAUUCACCUUUUUCUUCUUCUUUAUUUUUCUUUUUCUUUCCAUUUUUCCUUCUAUGGAAUGUCUUUGAUGGCAACUUCCAAAUGAGGAAACACAUCAAUCAGUUUUCCAAGAAUGUUCAGAAGUGCAGUGCAGGAAAUGUUGCAUAUCUUCAGUCAAUUUAGGGAAACAGAGAGGAAAUUUUAAGAUGUAAAAGAAACAGAGGAGUGUAGACAGCAGGAUGGCCAAUGCAGAGGCAGUGUUAUUAAUGUCUGAGUGAGUCCUUGGGACAGACAGUGAGUGAACUGGGUUAAGGCAAAAGAUUAAUUCUGUUUGAUAGUUGUGAACAAGAGAGUGGUAGAGCUUCUCAAAAUGAAAAGCUGCUGCUGUUCUAUGCUGAGCAAAUGAAACACUAUUUUCCUGGUAAUUUUCUGAGUCUUUAUCUGAACUCUUAGAAUCAAGGAUGUCAGAAAAAGAAUUUAUCUUAUAAUGAUCAGUUCUAUAGAAAAUUCUGUAAUUCACUACUCUUAGCUUUUAUGAUUUAUAGCAUUUGGCCUGGUCUAGCAGAAGAUUUAAGGAUUUAAGGGUUAAACUACUCUAGCUUUUAAAAUUUGCCCAUGACAAAACUAAAGGGCUUGUUUGCCUGUGAAAACUGUAAUUCUCUCAGCAAUAAUCUUGUAUGAUUUUACACUGGUCGGGAAAAAAACAGUAGAUGUUUGGCAAGCAGGGCCCUCUCCUGGUUUAUUGCCCCAUGACAUCCUCGGGAAGGCAGAGCUGGGUGAGGAGACACGGGAACCAGUGCUGUCAGUCACUGCUGAUGCAGAUUUAGAGAAGAGUCCUUUCAGGAGGGACUUACGUGCUUUUCCAUGGUCUGCUAAAUAUCAGAGCAUACAAUGAGAGUUUGCAGUCUGGAGCUACAUAGAAAGACCUGAACAGAAAUGCAUGUUCAUUUCAGGAUAAUCUGAUUGGAACAGCAUACAACUUUCAAAACAACUUUAUAGCCUUCACUUUUCCCUCUUUGCUACAAAAGGUUUAGUCAACUCUACAUGAAAGUGGAAAAUAAAGCAGUGCUCUUUUGUAUAACACUGGUUUAACUGCAUUAAAACAAGUCCUUGUAUGCACGUUAAAGAGUAACUGCUUGUUUUACACCCUUGUUAAGUAACAAAUGAUGUCACUAUUUGUACUUAAUAAAGCUUGUUGGCUUUACCAGAAAGGUUUUCAAUAAACUUUAUAGAAGUUUCAAUAAACUUUAUGGGUUUACUGCAAACCCAUAACCUAUAUCUUCAUAUUUAUUCCCAAACUCAUUAUCCCCAGUGUUUCUUAGACAGAUGUAUCUCUUUGUCUGGAGAUCUGGAGCUGAACACACAGCUAAUUCCAUCCUUGAAGCUACUGCCCAAGCAUGCAAGAUUAGAACAGUUUUGAAAGAUCUUGCAGAUUCCUAAUCUCUCGUGCAAUUCCAGUGGGCUUUGCUGCUGUGAGUUUCGUGGUGCAGCAAAAUGUAAAAUGCUCCUGGUAGGAUUAAGGGGAUCUUCAUAGUAUGCAUAGUACAAGGUAAUAUCUUUCAGUUUUACUGUUCCAUGUUACACAGAAAUUAUUUGUGCCCUCAGAGGUUUUUUGAAUGAUCAUCAUGUUAUUAUGAGUAUAUUAUCAUUAUUUAAGUUCUGUUUUCUGGGGCUGCUCUUAGUUAUUUUAAUUAAAGGCCAGAUUUUUGGGAAAAAAAAUUAAAAACUUUAAACUCUACUUCAAGCACAGCUUUCCACAGAAUUAGGUUUGCAUCCUAUUUGCUGCAAACAAGUUCAUUUUGCAAAGUACAUCCUGUCAUUUAUUUACAAAUUGUGAAAGUAAGUGUUUGAACAUAUCAAGAAUUGUCCAUACUGCCUGUGUAGAUUCUGUUCUUUAGUUUACAAAGAAAUAAUGAUGCUUGACUCUUUAUCAAGUAUUACUUCCCAAUUUAAUCACAUUUGUCAUUUUCAGAUUUAACAAUGCGCUCAUAUGGGGUUAUGGCUAAAAGUAGAAAGGAUAUUAGUAAACAUUAAUACAUAUCUUUCAGUGCUUUUCCCUUUUUUAGUUUAGUGGCAUAUAUUAGAGUAUUAGAGUGAAAUAACUCUUUUUUUUUAACCCAGAGGCCCUGAGAAAUUGAAAUGUACUGAACAGCCUAAAGGACAUGAAGAACCCAGUUUUUAACGUAACUCUAAAUGAAAGUCCAACCUUUAUAAUUGAAACUAUUAUAUUGAUGUUAAUCCAAGUGUGCUUUAAUAAUGGGAAAAACCCCUCUCUAGUUACCCAUAGCUGUGGUACUUACAUUCCAAAGAAGAGCUCUAAUCAAUGGAAAUCUUUAUUUAUGCCUCUAAAUGCUGUAUUAAGAGUGCUAAUUUCAGGAACUACUUAGUGUUGUUUAAAUCUAGAGCAUAUUUUAUUCUUCCAUGAGACUAAGAGACCUUGGUCAUUAAAAACCAAGUGUAAACACUUUUGAUAUUUUAAUCCUAAAAAUAGAAUCUCAUUAUUCCCAUUUGCAGUAGUAUCAAGUUACUGUAAAUUCAGAGGGAAAAGGUACCUCCCUGUGUGUGUGUACGUGUGACUUCAAGUUAUUGCUAUGGUGUUGCAGUUAACAUAUAUUAUGCAGGAAUCUGGUUAAUGUGCAGACAAUAGUGGGGAAGGCAAUAAAGCACAGCAGUAAUAAUUUCAAGCUAACACAUUAUUUUGGAUUCUUCUCAGUCAGUUCUUCCUCAGCACCCAUGAACUUCCAGCUUCAAGAGUUCCCAACAGAAGUAAUUUCUAGAAUAAAUAAGAAAUUGUUUAAUUUUCCUGAAAAGUUUUGAAAAACACGCUCUGAAGCUCAAUAAAAUUUUCCUAUACUUAAAGUUGAAAUAGAGUAUUUAAUGCAAGUUAUUUGGGAUGAGUUAUAUGGCUUUUGUGAAGGCAGUUAUGCACUACUGAUAAGAAACCUCUCUGAAGGCCAUGCCUUUCUCACUAAGCACACAUAUCAAAGAUAGCCAGUAGAGUCUGACAGGAUUUCCAAAAUGUAAGGUCCCUCCCCAAAGGAAAGUCAUAGAUUUGAGAGGGACAGCCUUGUAAGUUGUGAAAAGAAUUCAACAGAAAAAAACGGGAUAAAGGGUCAGUGGAGAGAUGUCACUGAAAGAUGGAUGCUACAAUCUGUCCUACUCAAGAUAAGUGAUUAAGAGAAGGGAGUAAAUAGGGAGGUGACAAAGUUGGAGUUGGUGACAAUAUUGUGUUCCUCUAAAGUAGUUAAGUACCACAGUAAAGUAGUAAAGAAAAGGAGUGACUGCAAAAAAUUGCAGAAGGACUUGUGAUAUUGACUGCACAGGCUAUGUGUUGAAAAGGAAAACUGAGUUUUGAUUACUAUAAAACAAAACAUAA